rnacentral:lncRNA from 1 species
GUGUUCUGUUGGUAACAGAAGUAUGACAGUCUCCAGGUUUACUCCUAACAAGUGUCAGUUGGAUUUGGAGGAAAUGAAGAGCCAAAUCCUGUGGGGAUGUGAUUGUAUGGAGGGUCUGAGUAUAGCAGCAGGAGGAAGAAUAAACUUGCAGCCUGUGUGCUAUUAAAUGGUACAGGAGCAGAGAUCGUGACGAAUGUUACUUUAUAACUAUGUCUGCUAAAGAUAAUUAUAUGCUAGCCUUUAAUUCAUUAACAUUGGAACCUUGUGAUACAUGAAUUUUGGUCGAGUUUAUUUAAAAAUAAAAAUUUCCCACAC